CUGAGAUGUGAGACUGGGCUCCACUGGGCUCAGAGGCAGACCUCAGGAUCCCAGUCUCGGGAGGGAACUGGUACUGAGUUCACUCACUGCCGAUGCUGGGAGAAUUUAAGAGAGACACAAAAGGAACUGCAGAGCCACAGACCUGCGUGGGACAGAGAUCAGCUUGAGACCGAAGAGCCCUUCCUCUUCUGAUCUUGUGCCAGAGCCUAGAUCAGAGAUUUUGACCUCAAGAUUUCAUCACCUAGUGAAUGCUUUAAGAGCCUUCAGUACCAGG